AGUAAUCGUAGAUCAGCAUGCUACGGUGAAUACGUUCCCGGGUCUUGUACACACCGCCCGUCACACCACGAGAGUUUGUAACACCCGAAGCCGGUGGAGUAACCUUUUAGGAGCUAGCCGUCGAAGGUGGGACAAAUGAUUGGGGUGAAGUCGUAACAAGGUAGCCGUAUCGGAAGGUGCGGCUGGAUCACCUCCUUUCUAAGGA
rnacentral:rRNA from 1 species